rnacentral:lncRNA from 1 species
AGUCGCCACCAAUCUUUUUUUUGAUGAGAUGUGAUCGGGUCACCUCGUAAAAUGGUUGUUUUUAAUAAACGAUUUGAUUUUAUUAAAACAACGAGUUUGGUCUACGAAAUCCAAAAACGGGUUCGGGAGUCGGUUACGCACGAGGAAGGAUUAGCACCCUCGACACGCCCAAAAUUGGUACCUUAGUUGAUUAUUUAAUGUCUUUAUGUCGAAAAUUAAAAACUCGAAAAGAAUUUAAAAAUACGAUCCUUCUUUAUAUUGCGUUAUUUUUUAAAAAAAUUACUUGGAUAAAUCAAAAUAAAAAAUGCCUUCUUAUCUCGAAUUAACAAGAUGUCACAUCCAGUAAGUUAGGACACGACACCUUGUAUUUUUUUUUUAGAGUAAGCUUGCCUUUUAUUUUUUAUUUAAACCUCAUUUAUUUUAAUUUUAAAAGGAUAUUCGAUUACUUAGAAUCAACGAGAAAAAUCGAAGCUCAGUAAGUUAGGGCACGAUUUUCUCGAAUUUUCUAAAUACGGAAUAUUGCCUUUACUUUCGAAAAAUCCUCAUAUCGAGAAAACCACGUGUCAUAUCCAAUGCGUUAGGACACAACAUAUUGAAAUCCCGAUAAUGAGUUUUUAUUUAUGUUUUGUAUUAAAGAGCAUUCUCGAGUAUUUAGAUUCAACAGAAAAUUAGAACCCAGCACGUUAGGGCCCAAUUCUCUCGAAGAUCCCAAGUAUCGAGUAUUGCCUUUAUUUCCAAAAUUUUCCUUUUUUACGAAUUUGGGUAAAAAUUGAUGUGACGGAAUAACAAUUACGAUAAUGCGAGUAAAAAUAAUACGAG